rnacentral:rRNA from 1 species
UUACACAUGCAAGUCGAACGAUGAUGCCCACUUGUGGGUGGAUUAGUGGCGAACGGGUGAGUAACACGUGAGUAACCUGCCCUUAACUCUGGGAUAAGCCUGGGAAACUGGGUCUAAUACCGGAUAUGACUCCUCAUCGCAUGGUGGGGGGUGGAAAGCUUUUUGUGGUUUUGGAUGGACUCGCGGCCUAUCAGCUUGUUGGUGAGGUAAUGGCUCACCAAGGCGACGACGGGUAGCCGGCCUGAGAGGGUGACCGGCCACACUGGGACUGAGACACGGCCCAGACUCCUACGGGAGGCAGCAGUGGGGAAUAUUGCACAAUGGGCGAAAGCCUGAUGCAGCGACGCCGCGUGAGGGAUGACGGCCUUCGGGUUGUAAACCUCUUUCAGUAGGGAAGAAGCGAAAGUGACGGUACCUGCAGAAGAAGCGCCGGCUAACUACGUGCCAGCAGCCGCGGUAAUACGUAGGGCGCAAGCGUUAUCCGGAAUUAUUGGGCGUAAAGAGCUCGUAGGCGGUUUGUCGCGUCUGCCGUGAAAGUCCGGGGCUCAACUCCGGAUCUGCGGUGGGUACGGGCAGACUAGAGUGAUGUAGGGGAGACUGGAAUUCCUGGUGUAGCGGUGAAAUGCGCAGAUAUCAGGAGGAACACCGAUGGCGAAGGCAGGUCUCUGGGCAUUAACUGACGCUGAGGAGCGAAAGCAUGGGGAGCGAACAGGAUUAGAUACCCUGGUAGUCCAUGCCGUAAACGUUGGGCACUAGGUGUGGGGGACAUUCCACGUUUUCCGCGCCGUAGCUAACGCAUUA